AUGCGUGAGGAUAAUAAUCGCUCUGGUGUUACCGAGAAAGAAACUUCACUUAUUCAUCACCAACCACUGCCAAAACCACCAUCAUCUCUGCUUCUUCAACAUAAUCUUCUCUCUUUAUCUAUGUUAAUCUUCCUUUUUUGCUCCGUUCGUCGCAUAAUCCGCUACCCAGACCCUGUCAUCAGGGAAAACGACACCAUUAAGCUGGAUUUUAAAGAGAACAUGUUAUGCUCAGUCUAG